rnacentral:lncRNA from 1 species
AGCUACUAGAGGACGCCCGUUCCAAUGGCAACUCUGCCAAGGCGCCUAUGAGAGCCUCUUGGCUUUUACCUGGUCUGCGAGAAAUCAAACUUUGGACACAAGUCAUGAAGCCGACAAGCCCGGGAGACACAGUGUCAGAAUUACAAGGUGAGAUCAGCCGCCCGGCCAAGCUAUCUUCUCGCUAGCAGCCUCCCUUGCUGCCCACCUCUAGUUCCUACUGAGCCUCUUCCCUCCUGGAUGGUAUAAAACAGUGCCACAUGGAGUCUUAGGUCCAGCAUCACAUGUAUUGAGCCAAUAUUCACUAAACAAAUACUUCUGAGCAUCUACUAUGUGCCAGGCAUGCUUCCAGGGACUAAAACCAACAAGAUCCUCCCCUUCAUGGAGCACAAAUCCAAAGUGGAGGAGAGUCAGACCAUGAGUGAGGAAAACAAGCUCAUGAACAAAAUGAGCUAAGUGUCACUGGGACAACAGAACAAAAGCAGAUAAAGAACAGAAGCGUACCUGGGAGAGCUGGCUGAAACCAGGACACGGUGGGACCAUUGGAAAGGACUCUAAACCACAGCAGCAGAAGGAGAGCUAGACUUGCAGGGACCCAGGCUCCACACUAGGGACCUCGACCUUGUCCUGCAGGGAGUGGAGACCCAUGAAUGGAUGUUAG